rnacentral:rRNA from 1 species
AGUGAACGCUGGCGGCGUGCUUAGCACAUGCAAGUCGAACGAGAACGGGCUAUAGCUUGCUAUAGUUGUCAGCUAAGUGGCGCACGGGUGAGUAAUGUAUAGGUAAUGUGCCUCUUACUAAGGGAUAACAAAUGGAAACGUUUGCUAAUACCUUAUACUCCUUAUUAACAGAAGUUAAUAAGGGAAAGAUUUAUUGGUAAGAGAUUAGCCUGUAUUGUAUCAGUUAGUUGGUGGGGUAAUGGCUUACCAAGACUAUGACACAUAACUGGUUAGAGAGGAUGAUCAGUCACACUGGAACUGAGGCACGGUCCAGACUCCUACGGGAGGCAGCAGUGGGGAAUAUUGCACAAUGGACGAAAGUCUGAUGCAGCAACGCCGCGUGGAGGAUGACACAUUUCGGUGCGUAAACUCCUUUUAUAUGAGAAGAUAAUGACGGUAUUAUAUGAAUAAGCACCGGCUAACUCCGUGCCAGCCGCCGCGGUAA